UAUACCUGAGACCAAUAACCGCAGUGAUUAGGAUAAGUACUAACUCACAUAGAGUUAGUUGAAGAAUCUCACAGGGUCAAAAAGUUAGGUUUAAGUAUGGUACCAUUGUACUCGAAAGUAGUUGAUGUAUGGUAUCUGGGCUAAACGAUUCCUUCAUAGAGCGGAGGUAUAUACGAACUAGCAACUCGGAACCUAGUUUGUUGGUUGUUUGUGGGAAACCACUCAGCGUACCAUAUUGAAAACUGUUAGAGACUCGAUGUGUACCAAGUAUAGGAAGUGGAUAGAUAAAGUCUAAGAGAUUACAAGUGUAAGGAUAAGAGAUCGUAAAACAAAACGAUCACAGAAUAGCAAUGAAUCGUAAUAUAUACGAUGAGAUCACUCCGUGAUCUGAUAAGGUUAUGGUAUGAAGAAAGAUCCAGAGAAUGAUGAAAAGUUUACAGCAAGAUUGCUGUGUAUGAAUUGUACUAUAAAUUGGUACAGAUCCAGAAGAGAAUUAUAAAUACGAAUUAAAUUCGUAUGGAGAAGGGGUUAGUGUUAGGUGGGGAUUCAAUUGAGGACUCAUGUCGGCAGCUGAGUUGUAUGAUUCUUCGUAUGGGAGCUGAAUUGUACUUGGUGUAAAAACCACUUAGUUUCUGGCACUGAUAAUCAUUGAAAUGUUUAUGUCGCGCUAUUUGUUAUAUGCAUGUUCAGAGGGUGAUUCCUUUCUCAUGUGUAUAACAGGUAGAUAGGUCAUAGAUAGAGGAUAUAAGGUUAAGUACGAGUUCUUAAAACUCAUACUUAUGGUACGUUCGUGACUCAUGAUUAUAUGAAAUGUUUAUGGACCCCUCAGCGAAUGGACGCCAAAGGUCUGUCUAGGAAAGUUCUUAAACUCAUAUGAUUGUGGUAAGUUCCUGAACUCAUAAGUGUGGUAAGUUUGACGAACUGGGUAUAGUUAUGUGUGAAAGAAGUAUUGAGGAUUAUAAGAAUAGAUAGAUCUAUUAAGUAAUGGAUCAGUAGAAAAAGUGAAGUUGAUGAUGGAAGCAUAGGUAUUCCAAAUCUUCUAGCUAUGCUAGACUUCGAAUUUUUGACAUCAAGCUAAAUACGCACUAUGUGCCUUUUGAAAACAAAAAUAUAGACUCGUAAUCAUUUUUGAAACGGUUUAAAGUACAGUCUAUGCUACUUAUUUCGGCUAGACGCGAAAGAUUUGAAGUAUCAAAAGUUGUUUUUAUUUAUCACUUAUGUACCAUGCAACCUGGUGCAGAGAUGAUAAAAAAAUGAUGGAGUCAUCAAUGCAGUAUUACUUAGUGUUGGAUGUGAUCUCAGGAUCGUCAACCCACUAUGGUAUGAUGUAGUAUGAUAAAAUCACCAAAUGACGGAAUCCUCAACGGACUGUAAAUACAGUGCGGCAUCAUGACGUCAUUCUCGAAAAAUGUUUUCAAAAUUUUAAUUUGCC
rnacentral:lncRNA from 1 species